rnacentral:rRNA from 1 species
UGGGGAAUAUUGCACAAUGGGGGAAACCCUGAUGCAGCGACGCCGCGUGAACGAAGAAGGUCUUCGUAUCGUAAAGUUCUGUCCUAUGGGAAGAUAAUGACAGUACCAUAGAAGAAAGCUCCGGCUAAAUACGUGCCAGCAGCCGCGGUAAUACGUAUGGAGCGAGCGUUGUACGGAAUUAUUGGGCGUAAAGUGUACGCAGGCGGAUUAAUAAGUCGAAUGUUAAAGAUCGGGGCUCAACCCCGCAAAGCAUUGGAAACUGAUAAACUUGAGUAGUGGAGAGGAAAGUGGAAUUCCUAGUGUAGUGGUGAAAUACGUAGAUAUUAGGAGGAAUACCAGUAGCGAAGGCGACUUGCUGGACACAAACUGACGCUGAGGUACGAAAGCGUGGGGAGCAAACAGG